GGAUAUGUGACGUGACCGCAUGGUCUGCGUCUGGAAAGAAUUUCGGUUGGGGAUGGGCUCGCGGCCUAUCAGCUUGUUGGUGAGGUAAUGGCUCACCAAGGCGUCGACGGGUAGCCGGCCUGAGAGGGUGACCGGCCACACUGGGACUGAGACACGGCCCAGACUCCUACGGGAGGCAGCAGUGGGGAAUAUUGCACAAUGGGCGCAAGCCUGAUGCAGCAACGCUGCGUGAGGGACGACGGCCUUCGGGUUGUAAACCUCUUUUAGCAGGGAAGAAGCGAAAGUGACGGUACCUGCAGAAAAAGUUUUUGGCUUUCUACGUGCCAGCAGCCGCGGUAAUACGUAGGGCGCAAGCGUUAUCCGGAAUUAUUGGGCGUAAAGAGCUCGUAGGCGGUUUGUCGCGUCUGCUGUGAAAUCCGGAGGCUCAACCUCCGGCCUGCAGUGGGUACGGGCAGACUAGAGUGCGGUAGGGGAGAUUGGAAUUCCUGGUGUAGCGGUGGAAUGCGCAGAUAUCA
rnacentral:rRNA from 1 species